UAGCUAGUUGGUGAGGUAAAGGCUUACCAAGGCGACGAUCUGUAGCGGGUCUGAGAGGAUGAUCCGCCACACUGGAACUGAGACACGGUCCAGACUCCUACGGGAGGCAGCAGUGGGGAAUUUUGGACAAUGGGGGCAACCCUGAUCCAGCCAUGCCGCGUGAGUGAAGAAGGCCUUCGGGUUGUAAAGCUCUUUCGGCCGGGAAGAAAUCGCAUGGGCCAAUACCCUGUGUGGAUGACGGUACCGGAAUAAGAAGCACCGGCUAACUACGUGCCAGCAGCCGCGGUAAUACGUAGGGUGCGAGCGUUAAUCGGAAUUACUGGGCGUAAAGCGUGCGCAGGCGGUUUUGUAAGACAGGCGUGAAAUCCCCGGGCUUAACCUGGGAACUGCGUUUGUGACUGCAAGGCUAGAGUACGGCAGAGGGGGGUGGAAUUCCACGUGUAGCAGUGAAAUGCGUAGAGAUGUGGAGGAACACCAAUGGCGAAGGCAGCCCCCUGGGUCGAUACUGACGCUCAUGCACGAAAGCGUGGGUAGCAAACAGGAUUAGAUACCCUGGUAGUCCACGCCCUAAACUAUGUCAACUAGGUGUUGGGUGGGUAAAACCAUUUAGUACCGUAGCUAACGCGUGAAGUUGACCGCCUGGGGAGUACGGCCGCAAGGUUAAAACUCAAAGGAAUUGACGGGGACCCGCACAAGCGGUGGAUGAUGUGGAUUAAUUCGAUGCAACGCGAAAAACCUUACCUACCCUUGACAUGCCAGGAACUUGCCAGAGAUGGCUUGGUGCCCGAAAGGGAGCCUGGACACAGGUGCUGCAUGGCUGUCGUCAGCUCGUGUCGUGAGAUGUUGGGUUAAGUCCCGCAACGAGCGCAACCCUUGUCGUUAAUUGCCAUCAUUUAGUUGGGCACUAUAACGAGACUGCCGGUGACAAACCGGAGGAAGGUGGGGAUGACGUCAAGUCCUCAUGGCCCUUAUGGGUAGGGCUUCACACGUCAUACAAUGGUCGGUACAAAGGGUUGCCAAGCCGCGAGGCGGAGCCAAUCCCAGAAAGCCGAUCGUAGUCCGGAUUGCAGGCUGCAACUCGCCUGCAUGAAGUCGGAAUCGCUAGUAAUCGUGGAUCAGCAUGUCACGGUGAAUACGUUCCCGGGUCUUGUACACACCGCCCGUCACACCAUGGGAGCGGGUUCCGCCAGAAGUAGGUAGCCUAACCGCAAGGGGGGCGCUUACCACGGCGGGGUUCGUGACUGGGGUGAAGUCGGAACAAGGUAGCCGUAGGGGAACCUGCGGCUG
rnacentral:rRNA from 1 species